UACGUAGGGUGCAAGCGUUAAUCGGAAUUACUGGGCGUAAAGCGUGCGCAGGCGGUGAUGUAAGACAGUUGUGAAAUCCCCGGGCUCAACCUGGGAACUGCAUCUGUGACUGCAUCGCUGGAGUGCGGCAGAGGGGGGAUGGAAUUCCGCGUGUAGCAGUGAAAUGCGUAGAUAUGCGGAGGAACACCGAUGGCGAAGGCAAUCCCCUGGGCCUGCACUGACGCUCAGGCACGAAAGCGUGGGGAGCAAACAGG
rnacentral:rRNA from 1 species